UACGUAGGGACCAAGCGUUGUUCGGAUUUACUGGGCGUAAAGGGCGCGUAGGCGGCAAUUCAAGUCAUCUGUGAAAUCUCCGGGCUUAACCCGGAACGGUCAGGUGAUACUGUCUUGCUAGAGUGCGGAAGGGGCAAUCGGAAUUCUUGGUGUAGCGGUGAAAUGCGUAGAUAUCAAGAGGAACACCUGAGGUGAAGACGGGUUGCUGGGCCGACACUGACGCUGACAGCGCGAAAGCUAGGGGAGCAAACAGG
rnacentral:rRNA from 1 species